rnacentral:rRNA from 1 species
CCUACGGGCGGCAGCAGUGGGGAAUAUUGCGCAAUGGGCGAAAGCCUGACGCAGCGACGCCGCGUGUGGGAUGAAGGUCUUCGGAUCGUAAACCUCUGUCAGCGGGGAAGAACGGUCACUGGGCUAAUCACCCGUGAAUUGACGGUACCUGCAAAGGAAGCACCGGCUAACUCCGUGCCAGCAGCCGCGGUAAUACGGAGGGUGCCAGCGUUAAUCGGAAUUACUGGGCGUAAAGCGCCCGUAGGCGGUAUGGCAAGUCAAGUGUGAAAUCCCCGCGCUCAACGUGGGAACUGCAUUUGAAACUGGCAAACUGGAGUGUGGGAGAGGGGAGUAGAAUUCCAGGUGUAGGAGUGAAAUCCGUAGAUAUCUGGAGGAACAUCAGUGGCGAAGGCGACUAGCUGGAACAAAACUGACGCUGAGGAGCGAAAGCGUGGGUAGCAAACAGGAUUAGAUACCCGAGUAGUC